rnacentral:rRNA from 1 species
UACGUAGGGGGGCAAGCGUUGUCCGGAUUUAUUGGGCGUAAAGAGCGUGUAGGCGGCCAUACAGGUCAGCUGUGAAAACUCGAGGCUCAACCUCGAGACGUCGGUUGAAACCGUAUGGCUAGAGUCCGGAAGAGGAGAGUGGAAUUCCUGGUGUAGCGGUGAAAUGUGCAGAUAUCAGGAAGAACACCUAUGGCGAAGGCAGCUCUCUGGGACGGUACUGACGCUGAGACGCGAAAGCGUGGGGAGCAAACAGG